rnacentral:rRNA from 1 species
UUAAGCGACUAAGCGUACACGGUGGAUGCCCUGGCAGUCAGAGGCGAUGAAGGACGUGCUAAUCUGCGAAAAGCGUCGGUAAGGUGAUAUGAACCGUUACAGCCGGCGAUGUCCGAAUGGGGAAACCCAGUGCAAUUCGUUGCACUAUCGUUAACUGAAUACAUAGGUUAACGAGGCGAACCGGGGGAACUGAAACAUCUAAGUACCCCGAGGAAAAGAAAUCAACCGAGAUUCCCCCAGUAGCGGCGAGCGAACGGGGAGCAGCCCAGAGUCUGAAUCAGCUUGUGUGUUAGUGGAACGGUCUGGAAAGUCCGACGGUACAGGGUGAUAGUCCCGUACACCAAAAUGCACAGGUUGUGAACUCGAAGAGUAGGGCGGGACACGUGGUAUCCUGUCUGAAUAUGGGGGGACCAUCCUCCAAGGCUAAAUACUCCUGACUGACCGAUAGUGAACCAGUACCGUGAGGGAAAGGCGAAAAGAACCCCGGCGAGGGGAGUGAAAAAGAACCUGAAACCGUGUACGUACAAGCAGUGGGAGCACCUUCGGGUGUGACUGCGUACCUUUUGUAUAAUGGGUCAGCGACUUAUAUUCUGUAGCAAGGUUAACCGUAUAGGGGAGCCGCAGGGAAACCGAGUCUUAACUGGGCGUUAAGUUGCAGGGUAUAGACCCGAAACCCGGUGAUCUAGCCAUGGGCAGGUUGAAGGUUGGGUAACACUAACUGGAGGACCGAACCGACUAAUGUUGAAAAAUUAGCGGAUGACUUGUGGCUGGGGGUGAAAGGCCAAUCAAACCGGGAGAUAGCUGGUUCUCCCCGAAAGCUAUUUAGGUAGCGCCUCGUGAACUCAUCUUCGGGGGUAGAGCACUGUUUCGGCUAGGGGGUCAUCCCGACUUACCAACCCGAUGCAAACUACGAAUACCGAAGAAUGUUAUCACGGGAGACACACGGCGGGUGCUAACGUCCGUCGUGAAGAGGGAAACAACCCAGACCGCCAGCUAAGGUCCCAAAGUCAUGGUUAAGUGGGAAACGAUGUGGGAAGGCACAGACAGCCAGGAUGUUGGCUUAGAAGCAGCCAUCAUUUAAAGAAAGCGUAAUAGCUCACUGGUCGAGUCGGCCUGCGCGGAAGAUGUAACGGGGCUAAACCAUGCACCGAAGCUGCGGCAGCGACACUAUGUGUUGUUGGGUAGGGGAGCGUUCUGUAAGCCUGCGAAGGUGUGCUGUGAGGCAUGCUGGAGGUAUCAGAAGUGCGAAUGCUGACAUAAGUAACGAUAAAGCGGGUGAAAAGCCCGCUCGCCGGAAGACCAAGGGUUCCUGUCCAACGUUAAUCGGGGCAGGGUGAGUCGACCCCUAAGGCGAGGCCGAAAGGCGUAGUCGAUGGGAAACAGGUUAAUAUUCCUGUACUUGGUGUUACUGCGAAGGGGGGACGGAGAAGGCUAUGUUAGCCGGGCGACGGUUGUCCCGGUUUAAGCAUGUAGGCUGGUUAUCCAGGCAAAUCCGGAUAAUCAAGGCUGAGGUGUGAUGACGAGGCACUACGGUGCUGAAGUAACAAAUGCCCUGCUUCCAGGAAAAGCCUCUAAGCAUCAGGUAACAUCAAAUCGUACCCCAAACCGACACAGGUGGUCAGGUAGAGAAUACCAAGGCGCUUGAGAGAACUCGGGUGAAGGAACUAGGCAAAAUGGUGCCGUAACUUCGGGAGAAGGCACGCUGGUGUGUAGGUGAAGCCCCUGCGGGUGGAGCUGAGACCAGUCGAAGAUACCAGCUGGCUGCAACUGUUUAUUAAAAACACAGCACUGUGCAAACACGAAAGUGGACGUAUACGGUGUGACGCCUGCCCGGUGCCGGAAGGUUAAUUGAUGGGGUUAUCCGUAAGGAGAAGCUCUUGAUCGAAGCCCCGGUAAACGGCGGCCGUAACUAUAACGGUCCUAAGGUAGCGAAAUUCCUUGUCGGGUAAGUUCCGACCUGCACGAAUGGCGUAAUGAUGGCCAGGCUGUCUCCACCCGAGACUCAGUGAAAUUGAACUCGCUGUGAAGAUGCAGUGUACCCGCGGCAAGACGGAAAGACCCCGUGAACCUUUACUAUAGCUUGACACUGAACAUUGAGCCUUGAUGUGUAGGAUAGGUGGGAGGCUUUGAAGCGUGGACGCCAGUCUGCGUGGAGCCAACCUUGAAAUACCACCCUUUAAUGUUUGAUGUUCUAACGUUGGCCCCUUACCGGGGUUGCGGACAGUGUCUGGUGGGUAGUUUGACUGGGGCGGUCUCCUCCCAAAGCGUAACGGAGGAGCACGAAGGUUAGCUAAUCCUGGUCGGACAUCAGGAGGUUAGUGCAAUGGCAUAAGCUAGCUUGACUGCGAGCGUGACGGCGCGAGCAGGUGCGAAAGCAGGUCAUAGUGAUCCGGUGGUUCUGAAUGGAAGGGCCAUCGCUCAACGGAUAAAAGGUACUCCGGGGAUAACAGGCUGAUACCGCCCAAGAGUUCAUAUCGACGGCGGUGUUUGGCACCUCGAUGUCGGCUCAUCACAUCCUGGGGCUGAAGUAGGUCCCAAGGGUAUGGCUGUUCGCCAUUUAAAGUGGUACGCGAGCUGGGUUUAGAACGUCGUGAGACAGUUCGGUCCCUAUCUGCCGUGGGCGCUGGAGAAUUGAGGGGGGCUGCUCCUAGUACGAGAGGACCGGAGUGGACGCAUCACUGGUGUUCGGGUUGUCAUGCCAAUGGCACUGCCCGGUAGCUAAAUGCGGAAGAGAUAAGUGCUGAAAGCAUCUAAGCACGAAACUUGCCCCGAGAUGAGUUCUCCCUGAGACUUUAAGUCUCCUGAAGGAACGUUGAAGACGACGACGUUGAUAGGCCGGGUGUGUAAGCGCAGCGAUGCGUUGAGCUAACCGGUACUAAUGAACCGUGAGGCUUAACCUU